rnacentral:rRNA from 1 species
ACGAAGGGGGCUAGCGUUGCUCGGAAUCACUGGGCGUAAAGGGCGCGUAGGCGGCUUUGUAAGUUGGGGGUGAAAGCCCGUGGCUCAACCACGGAAUGCCCUUCGAUACUGCUUGGCUUGAGUGUGGUAGAGGUUGGCGGAACUGCGAGUGUAGAGGUGAAAUUCGUAGAUAUUAGGAGGAACACCAGUGGCGAAGGCGGCCAACUGGACCAUAACUGACGCUGAGGCGCGAAAGCGUGGGGAGCAAACAG